AGUGAACGCUGGCGGUAGGCCUAACACAUGCGAGUCGAACGGCAGCACAGUAAGAGCUUGCUCUUACGGGUGGCGAGUGGCGGACUGGUGAGGAAUACAUCGGAAUCUACUUUUUCGUGGGGGAUAACGUAGGGAAACUUACGCUAAUACCGCAUACGACCUACGGGUGAAAGCAGGGGAUCUUCGGACCUUGCGCGAUUGAAUGAGCCGAUGUCGGAUUAGCUAGUUGGCGGGGUAAAGGCCCACCAAGGCGACGAUCCGUAGCUGGUCUGAGAGGAUGAUCAGCCACACUGGAACUGAGACACGGUCCAGACUCCUACGGGAGGCAGCAGUGGGGAAUAUUGGACAAUGGGCGCAAGCCUGAUCCAGCCAUACCGCGUGGGUGAAGAAGGCCUUCGGGUUGUAAAGCCCUUUUGUUGGGAAAGAAAAGCAGCAGGUUAAUACCCCGCUGUUCUGACGGUACCCAAAGAAUAAGCACCGGCUAACCUCGUG
rnacentral:rRNA from 1 species